rnacentral:rRNA from 1 species
ACUCCUACGGGAGGCAGCAGUAGGGAAUCUUCCACAAUGGACGAAAGUCUGAUGGAGCAACGCCGCGUGAGUGAAGAAGGGUUUCGGCUCGUAGAACUCUGUUGUUAAAGAAGAACAUAUCUGAGAGUAACUGUUCAGGUAUUGACGGUAUUUAACCAGAAAGCCACGGCUAACUACGUGCCAGCAGCCGCGGUAAUACGUAGGUGGCAAGCGUUGUCCGGAUUUAUUGGGGCGUAAAGCGAGCGCAGGCGGUUUUUAAGUCUGAUGUGAAAGCCUUCGGCUCAACCGAAGAAGUGCAUCGGAAACUGGGAAACUUGAGUGCAGAAGAGGACAGUGGAACUCCAUGUGUAGCGGUGAAAUGCGUAGAUAUAUGGAAGAACACCAGUGGCGAAGGCGGCUGUCUGGUCUGUAACUGACGCUGAGGCUCGAAAGUAUGGGUAGCAAACAGGAUUAGAUACCCUGGUAGGAUAGCG